GAGUUUGUUUUUAAAAGGCUAAUAUUUUUAAUUUCAUAUGUUUUAGUACAAUAUGGAUAUACUUGAGAAAAUAAGCUUAAUGACGGGGGGAGAACUGGCAUUUGCAAAGUUUAAUUAAAUAUAAAAUGCUUGACUUGUGAAAAACAAGCCUGUGGUUUUGAAAACACAUUUCCUACUUUCUUCUCUAAUGGGAGCUUGCAGCUCUUUAUUAAUGAUGAUUGAAUUAUGAAUUCUCUAGGGCAGAGACUGUAUCUUCUAUCUCAUUAACAAUUUGUGCGUGCAGAGAGACAGGUUGUUCAGCCUCGGGAUGGUCUACAAUUAAAUAAAUGCAUACACAGACAUUAUCUUAUUGAAUUUCCUUAACCUUCCAAGGAAGUAGUCGAGGAAAAUUCUCCCACUUGAUGGAUAGGGAAGUUGAGUCUCAACAAUGAAUGAAAAAUUUAAAUCACAUGACUUGUAUUGUUCUAGUUGAGACUGAGAUCUGCUCCUCAGCCCAAUGCUCUUUCCUCUACCCUAGCAUCCUCAGGCCACCCCUCCCCUGUUGCAAACUUCCCGGGAGUUGGGCUGCUACAAUUCGCAUGGAGACUCUCCUGCCACCUACGCGUUUCCCAGAGCAACAGCAUGAGCAGUUUAGGGGGAAGCAAGGCAAGUCGACAGAAUAGAUCCUCAAGUGAUGUGGACUCAGUUUCUUGCUGGAAUUUGCAAAGCCGAUUUAAAUAUGAUCUUAGUUGUCAGAAGAUUGCUUUUAAAAUGUAGAAAUUAAAGAAGACAGUCUCUGAGAAUGCAAAUUUUGAAGAACUUGGAAUCUUUUUCAUUUCAAAUAUAAUAUUAACCACAGAGCUCAUCUGGCUGGAUAUCACAGAGUUUACAACAUGAGGAAAUCAAAAUAAUAAAAACAGCCUCUCUACCUUGCUGGUGUUCGGU
rnacentral:lncRNA from 1 species